UACGUAGGGGGCUAGCGUUGUCCGGAAUCAUUGGGCGUAAAGCGCGUGUAGGCGGCCUUGUAAGUCCGUUCUGAAAGCCCGGGGCUCAACCCCGGGAGGCGGAUGGAUACUGCAAGGCUCGAGUCCGGAAGAGGCGAGUGGAAUUCCCGGUGUAGCGGUGAAAUGCGCAGAUAUCGGGAGGAACACCAAUGGCGAAGGCAGCUCGCUGGGACGGUACUGAUGCUGAGACGCGAAAGCGUGGGGAGCAAACAGG
rnacentral:rRNA from 1 species